rnacentral:rRNA from 1 species
UACGUAGGGGGCGAGCGUUGUCCGGAUUUAUUGGGCGUAAAGAGCGUGUAGGCGGUUCGGUAAGUCUGUCGUGAAAUCCUGAGGCUCAACCUCGGGCGUGCGAUGGAUACUGCCGGGCUAGAGGAUGGUAGAGGCGAGUGGAAUUCCCGGUGUAGCGGUGAAAUGCGUAGAUAUCGAGAGGAACACCUGCGGCGAAGGCGGGUAGCUGGGCCGACACUGACGCUGAGGCGCGAAAGCUAGGGGAGCGAACGGG